AGAUUGAACGCUGGCGGCAUGCCUUACACAUGCAAGUCGAACGGCAGCACGGGAGCAAUCCUGGUGGCGAGUGGCGAACGGGUGAGUAAUAUAUCGGAACGUGCCCAGUCGUGGGGGAUAACGUAGAGAAAUUUACGCUAAUACCGCAUACGAUCCAAGGAUGAAAGCGGGGGACCGUAAGGCCUCGCGCGACUGGAGCGGCUGAUAUCAGAUUAGCUUGUUGGUGAGGUAAAAGCUCACCAAGGCGACGAUCUGUAGCUGGUUUGAGAGAACGACCAGCCACACUGGGACUGAGACACGGCCCAGACCUCCUACGGGAGCAG
rnacentral:rRNA from 1 species